rnacentral:rRNA from 1 species
GAUGAACGCUGGCGGCGUGCCUAAUACAUGCAAGUCGAGCGAACAGACGAGGAGCUUGCUCCUCUGACGUUAGCGGCGGACGGGUGAGUAACACGUGGAUAACCUACCUAUAAGACUGGGAUAACUUCGGGAAACCGGAGCUAAUACCGGAUAAUAUCUUGAACCGCAUGGUUCAAUAGUGAAAGACGGUUUUGCUGUCACUUAUAGAUGGAUCCGCGCUGCAUUAGAUAGUUGGUAGGGUAACGGCUUACCAAGGCAACUAUGCGUAGCCGACCUGGGAGAGUGAUCGGCCACCUUGGAGCGUGGACGCGGUCCAGAGUACUAAGGGACGCAGCAGUCGGGAAUGGGAGGCAGUGGGCGAGAGUCUGGCGGAGCGACGGCACGUGAGUGAUGGCGGUGUUGGGAUCGUGAAGAUGUGUUACUGGGUAAGAACCGAUUUGUAAGUAACUGAAGCGGUCGUGACGGUACCGAAUAAGAAAGCCCCGGCUAACUACGUG